rnacentral:rRNA from 1 species
CACGUAGGAGGCGAGCGUUGUCCGGAAUCAUUGGGCGUAAAGAGCUCGUAGGCGGCUCGUUGCGUCGGCUGUGAAAACCCACAGCUUAACUGUGGGCCUGCAGCCGAUACGGGCGAGCUAGAGUUCGGUAGGGGAGACUGGAAUUCCUGGUGUAGCGGUGAAAUGCGCAGAUAUCAGGAGGAACACCGGUGGCGAAGGCGGGUCUCUGGGCCGAUACUGACGCUGAGGAGCGAAAGCGUGGGGAGCGAACAGG